UACGAAGGGGGUUAGCGUUGCUCGGAAUCACUGGGCGUAAAGCGCACGUAGGCGGACUCUUAAGUCGGUGGUGAAAUCCUGGAGCUCAACUCCAGAACUGCCUUCGAUACUGGGAGUCUUCGAGUCCGGGAGAGGUGAGUGGAACUGCGAGUGUAGAGGUGAAAUUCGUAGAAAUUCGGAGGAACACCAGUGGCGAAGGCGGCUCACUGGUCCGGUACUGACGCUGAGGUGCGAAAGCGUGGGGAGCAAACAGG
rnacentral:rRNA from 1 species